UUUAUCAUCGAACUUUCCAUGUUCAUCUCGCUCAUGUAUUCACUUGCUUCUUCUAAUCUAAUAGUAUUUUAUCUAUUUGCAUUCCCCCUUGUCGAUCCGUGGUUUCGAAUUAUCUUGUCAAAAAUUCGGUGGCAGUGUUAUCAAGUCAGAUAAAGACCAAUCAGUGAUAAAAUUCUCAGUGGCGCAGAGUAAUGACAUAGAGAUAACAUUUUAUUAUUUGUUAUAUUGCGCUUUGUCUCUAUUGCGGCCGGUAUAAUUUUAUGACCUCAUAGGGCAAAAACAAUAGAACAUGUCCACACAGACAAAGGUAGUGAUUGUGGGUGCCGGCGUCGCCGGAAUUGCAGCGGCCUGUCGAUUGAUCGAGGAAGGUUUUAAAAAUAUAAUUAUUCUGGAAGCAAAAAAUCGGAUUGGCGGUAGAAUUCAUACCGUGGAUUUUGCUGAUAAUGUUGUGGAUCUGGGUGCCCAGUGGGUUCAUGGAGAGAGUCAAAACAUUGGGUACAAUCUUGCAUCACCCCAUGGUUUGCUGGAAUCUUCACACAAUCUCAAUGACUUUGAAAAACAUUCUUUUGUCAAUUCAAAAGGAGAAUUGAUUCCAGCGGAGCAAGCAAGUAAAGUAUGGAAGUUGUACUACGAAAUAUCAGAUAAAGCAUCGGAGGAAUUGAGAAACAGGAAUGGAUCUUACGGAGAAUAUUUCGUUGAAGAGUAUUACAAACAUUACAAAACUGAUCCAUUCACCGAUGAAUCCAGAGCUGAGGAAAUUUUGGAGUGGAUUCACCGAUUCGAUAAUUCGAUACAAUGCAGUGAUAAUUGGUACGACGUCUCUGCAAAAGGAAUUACAGAAUACAAGUCGUGCGAUGGAGAUCUACUUUUAAACUGGAAAAAUAGGGGCUAUAAAACUAUUUUCGAUUUACUAAUGCGCAAAUUUCCAAACUCUCAGAAGGCAUUGCCACUAAUGGACAAAAUAGAGUUUGGAAAAGAAGUUUCUUCCAUCGACUAUAGUUCAGGCUCCGAAGUAAUCGUGAAAACAAUCGAGGGUCAACAAUUUUCUGCCGCUCACGUUAUAUUCACAGCGUCACUAGGAUUUCUCAAAGAGCAACAUUCCAAAAUUUUCAUUCCACCGUUACCUCAAAAAAAGCAACUUUCCAUAAAGGGUUUGAGCAUCGGCGUCGUUGCUAAAAUAUUUCUCGAAUUUCCGCAUCGAUGGUGGCCCGAAAAUUCUGCUGGUUUUGGCAUGCUCUGGUCCAGAGAAGAUAAACUUGACUUUAUAGCUACAAAUGGGCAAAACAAAAGCUGGUUGUGCGAUUUGUUCCAAUUUUUCACGGUUGACUAUCAACCCAGAAUACUCUGCGGGUGGCUUGUAGGCCAAUCAGCCAGAGACAUGGAACUGUUGCCCGAAGAAUCCGUUAAAAACGACGUCUACGAAUUGUUGGAAAAAUUUUUGGGGAAAACGUAUAAUAUACCAAGGCCAGAUCAUAUAGUUCGAACAAAAUGGUACUCGGAUCGACAUUUUCGUGGAUGUUAUAGUUAUAGAAGUAUGGCUGCUGAAAAACUCGAUGUUUGGGCAAAAGAUUUGGCUCAACCUAUACUCGAUGCAAAUAUAAAGCCGACACUUCUUUUCGCUGGUGAAGCUACACACGAUAAAUAUUAUUCAACGGUACAUGGCGCAAUUGAAACUGGCUAUCGUGAGGCGGACAGAAUUCUGAAUUAUUACAGGCAAUUAAAGUCCCAUCUCUAACCAAAGACCACAAGCUUCGUUGUGAAUGGAGGACGGUAAAGUCAACAUACUUUUUAUAUCGUAAAAAGUAGCAAUGAAAGCAGGUGGCCAAGAGUUGCGAUAUACCAAAGAAAAUGGAUUUCACAAGAGAAUUGGACAGCUCUUCGUACGAAAAAACAAGACUCGUUAUUAUUGGAGCCGGGAU
rnacentral:misc_RNA from 1 species